CUAGAAGUCAAUUGUGGAUGCAGAGAUGGCGACAGCGACUGCGAUAACUUUCCUUUCUUCUUCCAGAAAUGGAGCGGAGGUGAUUGAAAAAAGUGAAAAUUGUUGAAUUUUGAGUGAUAACAGACUUCCAUAGUAUUCGUCGGAAUCCUCGUCGGAGUUAAACGUCGAGCAUCGGAGGAGCUACUGAUUGAGAAUCGGAAAAUGG
rnacentral:misc_RNA from 1 species